AUGGGUCGCACCAAGGAGGAGCUCCUCGCGCGCCUCGAGGAGCUUAAGAUCGAUUUCAAGCGCCACGACCACCCGGUUGUGCUGACGGUCGAGGAGCAGGCCAAACAUGUGGGAAAUUUCGGAGGCGCUUUGACCAAGAAUCUACUUCUGAAGGACAAGAAACAUCGGUUGUACAUUGUUUCUGCACUUGCUGACACCAAAGUUGACAUGAAAAUUCUGUCCCAGCGUCUUGGUUUGGGAAAAGGUGGUGUGCGGAUGGCUCCUGAGGAGAAUUUGCGUCAAGUGCUUCAGGUACCGUUAGGAUGUGUUACUCCGUUUGCGCUAUUCAAUGAGUCCGCGAGUGCCGUCUCAUUAUUACUGGACCAAGGGUUCAAGUCUAAACAGAGCUGCUACUUCCAUCCACUGACAAAUGAUGUGACUAUUGCCCUCAGUUCAAGCAACCUGGACAAGUUUCUCCUCUCCAUUGGGAAGCAACCGGCUUAUGUAGACUUGGAGGCCUCACCAGUGGUAGGUAAAGAUAAUCCCCCUGACCUAGCAGAUCUUGUGCCUUCUGGUGCAUUCUGUUCCUCAGAAGAAUCAGUUGAGAAUCCAACUCCUAAAGAUGCUCCUCAAGUCAACGUACCCAAAGAGAAAACAUGUCUACCAGAAGUGAAGGCUAAGCCCAAAGUUCAGAACAAGGGGGCAGAAAGUUCAGAGAGUAAAGUUCUUACUAAUAAUGGCCCAAAUGUUGAGAUAUUUGCAAGUGAUGUGCUUGAGGUCAUCUUCCCAUUGUUCCUGUCUGAGGCAUCAAAGAAAUUGAAUAUUAAACAGGAAGAGCUUACUCAAAUUUUAAAAUUAGAUGACUUUAAACGACGAGCUGCUCCAGAUCUGGAGAGUGUAACGAACAUGUUCAAAAACAUGGCAUACACUGCAGGAUUUCACGCUGGCUUUGAUACCAUGCUCAAGUCGGGUUUAGGUGGGAUGCCCUCCCGGAAAUAG
rnacentral:rRNA from 1 species